GGGGAAUAUUGGACAAUGGGCGAAAGCCUGAUCCAGCAAUGCCGCGUGAGUGAUGAAGGCCCUAGGGUUGUAAAGCUCUUUUACCCGGGAUGAUAAUGACAGUACCGGGAGAAUAAGCUCCGGCUAACUUCGUGCCAGCAGCCGCGGUAAUACGAGGGGAGCUAGCGUUGUUCGGAAUUACUGGGCGUAAAGCGCGCGUAGGCGGUUUUUUAAGUCAGAGGUGAAAGCCCGGGGCUCAACCCCGGAAUAGCCUUUGAAACUGGAAAACUAGAAUCUUGGAGAGGUCAGUGGAAUUCCGAGUGUAGAGGUGAAAUUCGUAGAUAUUCGGAAGAACACCAGUGGCGAAGGCGACUGACUGGACAAGUAUUGACGCUGAGGUGCGAAAGCGUGGGGAGCAAAC
rnacentral:rRNA from 1 species